rnacentral:SRP_RNA from 1 species
CCGUGCUAGCCGGGGAAUUAGCGGCUCCCUGCACCGGCAAUCCGCUACAGCCGGGGUGAUGUUUGCACUAGGCUUUUUGUUUUAAGGCUGCCUUGUAUAAGCGGCGUUGAUUUUGAGGCCUUGCCCAAUGGAGCUUGCGUGAAGCGUGUCAGGUCCGGAAGGAAGCAGCACUAAGCGAUUUAGCCUUCAUGUGACGCGAGUUUACCUCAAAUGAGUUAGCUUAUAUAAGUAACGCUUAGGGCGACUGUCAACUGCAAAUGCACGG